rnacentral:rRNA from 1 species
AAAAGAAACUAACUAGGAUUCCCUUAGUAACGGCGAGCGAACAGGGAAAAGCCCAACUUAAAAUCUCCCUCUGGAGAAUUGUAGUCUGUAGAAGCUUCCUCUGUAGCUGGCGGAACUUAAGUCCUCUGGAAAGGGGCGUCAGAGAGGGUGAGAACCCCGUCGGUUCCUGCUUUGCUACUCCACGAGGUGCUUUCGAAGAGUCGGGUUGCUUGGGAAUGCAGCCCAAAGUGGGUGGUAAAUCCCAUCUAAGGCUAAAUAUUGGCGAGAGACCGAUAGCGAACAAGUACCGUGAGGGAAAGAUGAAAAGAACUUUGAAAAGAGAGUUAAAAAGUGCUUGAAAUUGUUGAGAGGGAAGCGUUUGGAAGGUGCGGGUGCGCCCAGGCUUAUGUGUCUCUAACGAGCCGCUGUAUGUGCUGGGUGCUGGUCAGCAUGGGUUAGGUUGGUAGGAUAAAAGUUAGGGUUGUUACCUGGCCUAUACUACCGACUUGACCAAGGCGUGAAGAAUGCCCUUGUCCUUCGGGAACUGCAUUCUCAAGAUGCUGGCGGAAGCCUUCCAACCGGCCCGUCUUGAAACACGGACCAAGGAGUCUAACAUGUAUGCGAGUUGGUGGGUGGAAAACCCAUGAAGCGUAAGGAAACUGACUGGUGGGAUGGCCUGUGCCUGCACCAUCGACCGACCAUGAGCUUCUGCGAAAGGUUUGAGUGCGAGCAUACCUGUUGGGACCCGAAAGAUGGUGAACUAUGCCUGAGCAGGGCGAAGCCAGAGGAAACUCUGGUGGAGGCUCGUAGAUGUGCUGACGUGCAAAUCGCUUUUCGGACUUGGGUAUAGGGGCGAAAGACUAAUCGAACCAUCUAGUAGCUGGUUCCCUCCGAAGUUUCCCCCAGGAUAGCUGGAGCUUGUAUCAGUUUUAUCGGGUAAAGCGAAUGAUUAGAGGUUCGGGGGAUGAAACAUCCUUCACCUAUUCUCAAACUUUAAAUAGGUAAGACGUCAAGGUUGCUUAAUUGAACCUUGACAUUCAAUGAGAGCUCCAAGUGGGCCAUUUUUGGUAAGCAGAACUGGCGAUGCGGGAUGAACCGAUAGUCGAGUUAAGGUGCCUAACUGCGCGCUAACCUAGAUCCCACAAAGGGUGUUGAUUGAUAUAGACAGCAGGACGGUGGUCAUGGAAGUCGAAAUCCGCUAAGGAGUGUGUAACAACUCACCUGCCGAAUCAAUUAGCCCCGAAAAUGGAUGGCGCUGAAGCGCGCGACCUAUACUCGGCCAUGGAAGCAAGUGCGAGGCUUCCAUGAGUAGGAGGGCGUGGAUAUCGUUGCGCAGCCUGAGGCGUGAGCCUGGGUGAAACGGUAUCUAGUGCAGAUCUUGGUGGUAGUAGCAAAUAUUCAAAUGAGAACUUUGAAGACUGAAGUGGGGAAAGGUUCCAUGUGAACAGCAAUUGGACAUGGGUUAGUCGAUCCUAAGAGAUGGGGUAAUCCUGUAUCAAGAGCGCGAUUAGCGCUGCCCAUCGAAAGGGAAAAGGGUUAAGAUUCCCUUACCUGGACAAGGCGGCUGACGGUAACGUAAGCGAGUCUGCAGACAUCGGCAUUGGCCCUGGGAAGAGUUCUCUUUUCUUUUUAACAGCUCGAAGGCCCUGGAAUCGAAUCAUUCGGAGAUAGGGCUCAGAAGCUGGUAAAGCACCGCACGUCUCGCGGUGUCCGGAGCGCCAAUGACGGUCCUUGAAAAUGCAGAGGAGCGGCUACCGAUCUUGCCAGGUCGUACUCAUAACCGCAUCAGGUCUCCAAGGUGAACAGCCUCUAGUCGAUAGAACAAUGUAGAUAAGGGAAGUCGGCAAAAUGGAUCCGUAACUUCGGGAAAAGGAUUGGCUCUGAGGGUUGGGUCUAGGGGUCUGCAUCUGGAAACCAUCGGCUGUCGAUGGUCUACUCAGGCUUCACGGCUCGGGCGGACUGUCGCGUGCUUUUGGCGGACGGGUGUAGAAGCUUCGGCGUUCCCUAGGCGACGAACAACCAACUCAGAACUGGUACGGACAAGGGGAA